rnacentral:rRNA from 1 species
UACGGGUGGGGCAAGCGUUGUUCGGAAUUACUGGGCGUAAAGGGUUCGUAGGUGGCCUGCUAAGUCAGACGUGAAAUCCCUCAGCUUAACUGGGGAACUGCGUCUGAGACUGGUGGGCUUGAGUGCAGGAGAGGAACGCGGAAUUCCAGGUGUAGCGGUGAAAUGCGUAGAUAUCUGGAGGAACACCGGUGGCGAAGGCGGCGUUCUGGACUGCUACUGACACUGAGGAACGAAAGCCAGGGGAGCAAACGGG